rnacentral:rRNA from 1 species
AGAGUUUGAUCAUGGCUCAGGACGAACGCUGGCGGCGUGCUUAACACAUGCAAGUCGAACGAUGAAGCCUCGGGUGGAUUAGUGGCGAACGGGUGAGUAACACGUGGGUGAUCUGCUCGUACUUCGGGAUAAGCUUGGGAAACUGGGUCUAAUACCGGAUAUGACCAGGGGCUGCAUGGUUUCUGGUGGAAAGAUUUAUC